rnacentral:rRNA from 1 species
CAGUAGCCGCGGUAAUACGAAGGGUGCAAGCGUUAAUCGGAAUUACUGGGCGUAGAGCGCGCGUAGGUGGUUCAUUAAGCUGGAUGUGAAAGCCCUGGGCUCAACCUGGGAACUGCAUCCAAAACUGGUGAGCUAGAGUACGGUAGAGGGUAGUGGAAUUUCCUGUGUAGCGGUGAAAUGCGUAGAUAUAGGAAGGAACACCAGUGGCGAAGGCGACUACCUGGACUGAUACUGACACUGAGGUGCGAAAGCGUGGGGAGCAAACAGGAUUAGAUACCCCCGUAGUCCCUGUCUCUUAUAC